UACGUAGGGCGCAAGCGUUAUCCGGAAUAUUGGGCGUAAAGAGCUCGUAGGUGGUUUGUUACGUCUGCUGUGAAAACCUAGGGCUUAACCCUGGGCUUGCAGUGGAUACGGGCAGACUAGAGGUAGGUAGGGGAGAAUGGAAUUCCUGGUGUAGCGGUGAAAUGCGCAGAUAUCAGGAGGAACACCGGUGGCGAAGGCGGUUCUCUGGGCCUUACCUGACACUGAGGAGCGAAAGCGUGGGGAGCGAACAGG
rnacentral:rRNA from 1 species